rnacentral:rRNA from 1 species
CAGAUUGAACGCUGGCGGCAGGCUUAACACAUGCAAGUCGAGCGGGGNNARUGUAGCUUGCUACAUKACCUAGCGGCGGACGGGUGAGUAAUGCUUAGGAAUCUGCCUAUUAGUGGGGGACAACAUUCCGAAAGGAAUGCUAAUACCGCAUACGUCCUACGGGAGAAAGCAGGGGAYCUUCGGACCUUGCGCUAAUAGAUGAGCCUAAGUCGGAUUAGCUAGUUGGUGGGGUAAAGGCCUACCAAGGCGACGAUCUGUAGCGGGUCUGAGAGGAUGAUCCGCCACACUGGGACUGAGACACGGNCCNAGAC